rnacentral:rRNA from 1 species
ACGUACACUCCUGCGGGAGGCAGCAGUGGGGAAUAUUGCACAAUGGGCGCAAGCCUGAUGCAGCCAUGCCGCGUGUAUGAAGAAGGCCUUCGGGUUGUAAAGUACUUUCAGCGGGGAGGAAGGCAAUACGGUUAAUAACCGUGUUGAUUGACGUUACCCGCAGAAGAAGCACCGGCUAACUCCGUGCCAGCAGCCGCGGUAAUACGGAGGGUGCAAGCGUUAAUCGGAAUUACUGGGCGUAAAGCGCACGCAGGCGGUCUGUCAAGUCGGAUGUGAAAUCCCCGGGCUCAACCUGGGAACUGCAUUCGAAACUGGCAGGCUUGAGUCUUGUAGAGGGGGGUAGAAUUCCAGGUGUAGCGGUGAAAUGCGUAGAGAUCUGGAGGAAUACCGGUGGCGAAGGCGGCCCCCUGGACAAAGACUGACGCUCAGGUGCGAAAGCGUGGGGAGCAAACAGGAUUAGAAACCCCGGUAGUCCCAU